UGGGGAAUCUUGGACAAUGGGGGAAACCCUGAUCCAGCAACGCCGUGUGAGUGAUGAAGGUCUUCGGAUUGUAAAGCUCUGUUAGCCGGGAAAAAACUCGUGAGCAUCAGAUCCUCACGAUUGAUGGUACCGGCAGAGGAAGCACCGGCUAACUCUGUGCCAGCAGCCGCGGUAAUACAGAGGGUGCGAGCGUUAUUCGAAAUUAUUGGGCGUAAAGCGCAAGUAGGUGGUGAGAUAAGUCUUGUGUGAAAUACUCGGGCUCAACCCGAGAGGGUCAUAGGAAACUGUCUCGCUAGAGUGCAAUAGGGGAGAGCGGAAUUCCCAGUGUAGUAGUGAAAUACGUAGAUAUUGGGAGGAACACCGGUGGCGAAAGCGGCUCUCUGGAUUGUUACUGACACUCAGUUGCGAAAGCGUGGGGAUCAAACAGGAUUAGAUACCCCCGUAGUCCCUGAGCGGGCUGGCAAGGCGCAU
rnacentral:rRNA from 1 species